rnacentral:rRNA from 1 species
AUUUGAGGCUAUACCAUCCUGAAUGUGCCUGAUCUUGUCUGAUCUUAAAAGCUAAGCAGGGUUGGGUCUGGUUAGGACUUUGAUGGGAGAGGUAACAGUAGCUAACACCUAAGAACACACCAUGCAAAGCACAAUUC